rnacentral:rRNA from 1 species
UCUAUUUUAUAUUAUAGCUACGGCGCUUGUUGAUGGGUGUGCGGCUGAUUAGGUAGUUGGCGGGGUAAUGGCCCACCAAAGCCUGCGAUCAGUAGCUGAUGUGAGAGCAUGAUCAGCCACACGGGCACUGAGACACGGGCCCGACUCCUACGGGAGGCAGCAGUAAGGAAUAUUGGACAAUGGGCGCAAGCCUGAUCCAGCCAUGCCGCGUGAAGGAUUAAGGUCCUCUGGAUUGUAAACUUCUUUUAUAAGGGACGAAAAAGGGAAUUCUUUCUCACUUGACGGUACCUUAUGAAUAAGCACCGGCUAACUCCGUG